UACAGACGGUCCAAACGUUAUUCGGAAUCACUGGGCUUAAAGAGUUCGUAGGCGGUUCGGUAAGUCGGGUGUGAAAACUCUGGGCUCAACCCAGAGCCGCCACCCGAUACUGCUGUGACUUGAGUGCGGUAGGGGAGCGGGGAAUUCCUGGUGUAGCGGUGAAAUGCGCAGAUAUCAGGAGGAACACCAGUGGCGAAGGCGCCGCUCUGGGCCGUGACUGACGCUGAGGAGCGAAAGCGUGGGUAGCAAACAGG
rnacentral:rRNA from 1 species